rnacentral:rRNA from 1 species
UACGUAGGGUGCGAGCGUUAAUCGGAAUUACUGGGCGUAAAGCGUGCGCAGGCGGUUUUGUAAGCCAGAUGUGAAAUCCCCGGGCUUAACCUGGGAAUGGCAUUUGGGACUGCAAGGCUUGAGUGCGGCAGAGGAGACUGGAAUUCCUGGUGUAGCAGUGAAAUGCGUAGAUAUCAGGAGGAACACCGGUGGUGUAAACGGCUUUCUGGACCAUAACUGACGCUGAGGCACGAAAGCGUGGGUAGCAAACAGG